UACGUAGGGACCAAGCGUUGUUCGGAUUUACUGGGCGUAAAGGGCGCGUAGGCGGCUUGACAAGUCACUUGUGAAAUCUCUGGGCUUAACCCAGAACGGCCAAGUGAAACUGUCGAGCUAGAGUGUAGAAGGGGCAAUCGGAAUUCUUGGUGUAGCGGUGAAAUGCGUAGAUAUCAAGAGGAACACCUGAGGUGAAGACGGGUUGCUGGUCUAACACGGACGCUGAGGCGCGAAAGCCAGGGGAGCAAACGGG
rnacentral:rRNA from 1 species